rnacentral:rRNA from 1 species
AUUGAACGCUGGCGGCAUGCCUUACACAUGCAAGUCGAACGGUAACAGGUCUUCGGAUGCUGACGAGUGGCGAACGGGUGAGUAAUACAUCGGAACGUGCCUAGUAGUGGGGGAUAACUACUCGAAAGAGUGGCUAAUACCGCAUGAGAUCUACGGAUGAAAGCAGGGGAUCGCAAGACCUUGUGCUACUAGAGCGGCCGAUGGCAGAUUAGGUAGUUGGUGGGAUAAAAGCUUACCAAGCCGACGAUCUGUAACUGGUCUGAGAGGACGAUCAGCCACACUGGGACUGAGACACGGCCCAGACUCCUACGGGAGGCAGCAGUGGGGAAUUUUGGACAAUGGGCGAAAGCCUGAUCCAGCAAUGCCGCGUGCAGGAUGAAGGCCUUCGGGUUGUAAACUGCUUUUGCACGGAACGAAAAGCCCCGGGUUAAUACCCUGGGGUCAUGACGGUACCGUAAGAAUAAGCACCGGCUAACUACGUGCCAGCAGCCGCAGUAA